AGCGCCUGCAGCCUGCAGAGCCGGAGCAGCCGGAGUGAGGACCCCCCGCAGGUACAGGGCGGGCGCUGUGAACCCGGGGCCGCAGGGCUCACACUCUGCGGGGAGGUGUGGGGCGCUGAGCCCGGUGCUGGCGCGCGGCCGGGCACAGUACAGAUUUGAAGACCGGAAUGGAGAAAACUGAAAUGAUUAAUGAAACA